CCACCGCCACCACCACCACCACCACCACCACCACCACCACCACCACCACCACCACCACCACAGCACUCAGCGUGGCACAGAAGGAACAGAGCCAGGCGGAAAACAAGGACUAAGAUCCACUGCCACUUCCAAAUAAGGGCAUUAUUGAGAAGUAUGGCCUGGCACUGCAAUCAUCAGGGUUCUUUGCUGGGUAUGACAUCAACAUCAACGCAGGCAUUGCCAAUUCUGUGUCGUCGCAGGCCCUCAAAUUUGUGGCCUCUCUCCUGCCAAAUACUGUGGCUUAUUUUGAUGAGGAGAAGGUGAAAGAGCGUCCCAUCACAGACACCUUCUAUGCUCCCUUUGACCUUUACAAGCCCAUUAGAGGUGGUAAGUACUUGUUAAUAUAUUUUGGUGAUAGAGAAAAGCAGGUAGACAAAAUUACAAGUAUUCAAAAUUUUUUCCUUUUUCCUUAUCUUCUAUUACUUCCUCCUCAUUGUGCCAAUUUGUUUCCUUACCUCUGCAAGUAUUGAUUAUUGUGUCUAUCUAUCCACCUGUCUGCCUGCUUGUCUAUCUGCCUGCCUGUCUACGGUCAGCGACACACACAAUCGGACCUCCUGCCGAGACACGAGCAAGAAAGUUUCCUCAUUGGCUGACGAAAUGCCCCUGGUUGUAAAGUAUGGCUGUCAUUGGCUGGAGGUCUGAUGGUGGUUGUUGAUGGCUGUAUUUGUGGUGAUGGUGAUCUAUUAUUAUUAUGUCUGUUUUGUUAUAUGUUGUGUUUAUGCAAAAUGUUUUGUGUGUUUUUGAGAAUGUGUCCUGGAAAUUUUUGGUUACAAGGAAAUGCAUAUUGAUAUACAAUGUCUCUCUCUCUCUCUCUCUCUCUCUCUCUCUCUCUCUCUCUCUCUC